GGGGAGGUGCCGGAGUGGACGAUCGGGGCCGCCUGCUAAGCGGUUGUCGGGGUAAAACUCGACCGAGGGUUCGAAUCCCUCCCUUCCCGCCA
rnacentral:tRNA from 1 species